rnacentral:lncRNA from 1 species
ACAAAGUUUUGCAUGUUUGGCCCUGCUUGUUUGGGCUGCAAAAAAGGCAAAUCUUUACCCAUCUAUAAUUAGAGUGGUCCCUCACAAAUUUACUCUUUGAUUUAAAUGGUCCCCAACUAAUCUAGCUUGGUCCCCCACCUAAACCUUAGUUAAGUAUGAGGUAAUCAUACAUGGUCCCCUACUAAGUUUAUUAGAAAAAGAUGUGAAAUUUUUGCACUUUUAAAAUAGCACCAAAUUUUUGCAUAAAAUUUGGUCAUAAACCCAAUUGUCAAGAGUUUCGAGCAUAUUAAAUUAGGCUAAAUUUCAUGCAAAUUUUUGCGGGAUAACCAAGCAGGGCUCUGUAAUAGAAUUGCCUGACAGUUAAAAUGGUUGUUGCUACAUACAGUAUACUAAAUAUAACCAAUUGAUGGUUCUUUACAGAAUUUACAUUUUCCUAUUUGAUAGUGAUGGUGGUGGUGAUUGCAGAGGUGGGAACAUCUGCUGGAGCGUUCUCAGUUCUCGACUUCUCAUCUUCUUAGGAGCUCGAUUCUUUCAGUAAUUUCCUCAUGUUGACUCAUCUAUGAGUCUCUUUAUCUUGUCUCAAAUCAUCAUC